rnacentral:rRNA from 1 species
GACGAACGCUGGCGGCGUGCUUAACACAUGCAAGUCGAACGGAAAGGCCCUGCUUGCAGGGUACUCGAGUGGCGAACGGGUGAGUAACACGUGGGUGAUCUGCCCUGCACUUCGGGAUAAGCCUGGGAAACUGGGUCUAAUACCGGAUAGGAGCCAUUUUUAGUGUGAUGGUUGGAAAGUUUUUUCGGUUUGGGAUGAGCUCGCGGCCUAUCAGCUUGUUGGUGGGGUAAUGGCCUACCAAGGCGGCGACGGGUAGCCGGCCUGGGAGGGUGGACGGCCACAUUGGGACUGAGUUACGGCCCAGACUCCUACGGGAGGCAGCAGUGGGGAAUAUUGCACAAGGGGCGCAAGCCUGAUGCAGCGACGCCGCGUGGGGGAUGACGGCCUUCGGGUUGUAAACUCAUUUCGCUAGGGACGAAGCUUUUUGUGACGGUACCUAGAUAAGAAGCACCGGCUAACUACGUG